GUCGUAGCUGCAGCCGACUUUUGCAUCAGCUCAAAGUAUACUCAACAUCCACAUUCUAUAUUUUUAGGCCAUUUCCGUCUGCAAAAUGAAGCUCUUGGCUAUUGCUGUCAUCUUGUGCCUCGCUGUACUGUACACUCAGGCUUUACCAGCCGAAAUGCCAUCUUCACCACUGCUGCUCAGUCGUGUCGCCAGGUCACCUCACUUCCCUCAAGACUGUAUCCCGUGUACUUGUAAAACCACCAUCACACACAUUACCAUUAUCGAACAUGAAGUAAGGCCAACAGCCGCAAGGUUCGGUAACAGCCCCCAGUGCUGCCCAUGCCCUCCACCUUUCUGAUGCCCUUGUUUCUCAUGGACCGAUCACGCCAAUCUUCUGAGUAUCUUCUACACGGAAAAUAUGAAAAAAUCAGAAAAAAAAUACUGAACAAACCAAAUGUUAUAUUAUUAUUGAAUGUAAUCAUAUGCAAAUAAAAUUGGUGUAACUAACCA
rnacentral:lncRNA from 1 species